AUCUGAAAAUUAAUAAAAGUUGGGGUCAAAAUUAACUAGGACUGUCGUGAUCACUAUAUAUAUUUACCGGUAUAUUAGAUAUAGAUGGAUGGACGUUCAGAAAGGAGAGCUGGGGCAGCAGUUGCAUCAUCAACGACGGUGGUGAUGUGGGUUGUGAUGGUGGUGGUGUGGUGGUGGUGAAUGAUGCACAACUGGGGGAGGUGGAGGGUGGACUACAACCACUGGAGGAGAGUGAUGCGGUGGAGGCGGGGGAGGAGCUUCCUUCACAACCACCACCACAGGAGGUGGGGAUGGUGUAUGGUGAUGAUGCUUCCCUGCAAACAAAAGAUAUAUCAAUUACCCAAUUCAGUCAGUCAUAAAAUAUUAUUGAAAACUGCUGAAGCUUUAUAAUUCAGUCAAGAAAGUGAAAAAAGAUCUGUGAUGAACUUACCUGG
rnacentral:lncRNA from 1 species